UAUAAAACGUACGUUAUAUAUCUACACAAGUUUUGAAUAUUAAGUUUAAACAUACAAGAUUUAAAGAAAAAACAUGCCGGCCUUCUAAAGAUUAACCAAAAAUCGGCGGUGACAAGUGGACGUCAUGAUUGGAGAACGGCUGGCUGGCUUCGAUGAGAGAAGUCGUUCAAGGAUUUAUGAUGGUUCAGGUUCAGGUUAUCGAACCCGGAUCCUUUGACGUAUGACGCAGGGGAAGAGGCCGAUAUUUUUCGCAGAGACACCUUUUUCCCGUACUCUUUUCUCUCCCUUGCGCUCGUCGCGUGGAAAAGUACGUGAGCGCUAUUCCCGGUAAUGAUGGCAUUAGCGAAGUCGAACGGUGAUUCCUCUUCGUGGGAGUCCGGACCGAUUCAAGCAAACAUUGACUCUGUCCCACGGGAUAAACACUCCCUCCCUCUCUUCCUUCUUCCUGAGAUGUUCUUGUCUUUUGAAGUAAGGAGAGAAGAAGGAGAACACCAAGGCGAAUAGGACGUGAAAGAGGUAGCCGGACCUUUAUCGCGUGCGCGAGCUCCUCUCGUAUAAAGUAAAUUUUAUCCUUUCGGAAUCCAUCGUCUCCAAAGAGGGUGCUGCUAAUCUUCCUUUUAAGGUCGGGAAAAUCUCGCAUAACCUUUUCCUUUUUAUCUCGCGUCUCUCAGAAGAAGUUAUUAUAAUUAGGUAAAGACACGAAGGCACGUCGCAUUUACGUACCUCGGAAGUAAAUUUUUUUAACGAUCGCAAUUACGAGCGUCCCGCUAGUCAUGAAGAGAACCAGCCGGACAUCUUCCGUUGGGGGAUGGCAAAAAAAGCAAGUAAGAAGAAAAAAAACGGGGAAAGCAGCGAUGCUCGUUUUAAGACCGGCGGCGUGCGUCUCGAGAGUCGAAUGCCUGAGAAGAGAAAAAUUUAAUUUCGCCAUUCGCGGCGCCUGGAUGUCUGAUGACAAUUACACGGCCGCUGCGCUUCCUCUUUAGCCCGACGAUACGAAGAAGAACGGGAGAGAGAAAAAAA